rnacentral:snRNA from 1 species
AUACUCACCUGACAGGGGAGAUAGAUACCAUGGUCAUGAAGUUGGUUUUCCCGUUGUACUCCUGAUGUGCUGACCCCUGCGAAUUCCCCAGGUGCGGGAAACUCAACUGCAUAAUUUGUGGUAGUGGGGGACUAUAUUUGUGCUCUCUGG